UACGUAGGGUGCGAGCGUUUGUCCGGAAUUACUGGGCGUAAAGAGCUCGUAGGUGGUUUGUCGCGUUUGUCCCGUGAAAAACUCACAGCUCAACUGUGGGCGUGCGGGCGAUACGGGCAGACUGGAGUACUGCAGGGGAGACUGGAAUUCCUGGUGUAGCGGUGGAAUGCGCAGAUAUCAGGAGGAACACCGGUGGCGAAGGCGGGUCUCUGGGCCGAUACUGACGUGAGGAGCGAAAGCGUGGGGGAGCGAACAGG
rnacentral:rRNA from 1 species